AGAGUUUGAUCCUGGCUCAGAACGAACGCUGGCGGCGUGCUUAAUACAUGCAAGUUUGCGAGAAAGCGGGGGCAACCCCGCAAGUAAAGCGGCGCACGGGUGAGUAACACGUAAGUAACCUGCCUCCAAGAUUGGGAUAACCCUGCCAACGCGGGGCUAAUACCGGAUGUGAUCAUGGAAUCUCAUGUUUCUAUGAUUAAAGUUGACCUCUACUUGUAAGUUUGCGCUUGGAGAUGGACUUGCGUACCAUUAGCUAGUUGGCAGGGUAAUGGCCUACCAAGGCUUUGAUGGUUAGCGACCUGAGAGGGUGAUCGGCCACAUUGGGACUGAGAUACGGCCCAGACUCCUACGGGAGGCAGCAGUAGGGAAUUUUGCGCAAUGGACGAAAGUCUGACGCAGCAACGCCGCGUGAGGGAUGAAGGUCUUCGGAUUGUAAACCUCUGUUGAGUGAGAAGAAAACACCCACGGAUAAUACCUGUGGGCCUUGACGGUAUCGCUCGAGGAAGCCCCGGCUAACUACGUGCCAGCAGCCGCGGUAAUACGUAGGGGGCAAGCGUUGUUCGGAAUUACUGGGCGUAAAGGGAGUGUAGGCGGGAAGAUAAGUUAGGAGUGUAAUCCUCAGGCUUAACCUGGGAACUGCUUUUAAUACUGUCUUUCUUGAGUAUGGGAGAGGGUGAUGGAAUUCCAGGUGUAGCGGUGGAAUGCGUAGAUAUCUGGAAGAACACCAGUUGCGAAGGCGGUCACCUGGCCCAAUACUGACGCUGAGGCUCGAAAGCUAGGGGAGCAAACAGGAUUAGAUACCCUGGUAGUCCUAGCCGUAAACUAUGGAUACUAGAUGCUGGAAAAGUCAAUCUUUUCAGUGUCGUAGCUAACGCGAUAAGUAUCCCGCCUGGGAAGUACGCUCGCAAGGGUGAAACUCAAAGGAAUUGACGGGGGCCCGCACAAGCGGUGGAGCAUGUGCUUCAAUUCGAUGCAACGCGAAGAACCUUACCUGGGUUUGACAUGGGAGUGAAAGUUGCCAGAGAUGGCGGCCCUUCCGCAAGGAACACUCUACACAGGUGCUGCAUGGUUGUCGUCAGCUCGUGUCGUGAGAUGUUGGGUUAAGUCCCGCAACGAGCGCAACCCCCGCUCUUAGUUGCCAUCAGGUAAAGCUGGGAACUCUAAGGGGACCGCCUGUAAUAAACAGGAGGAAGGUGGGGAUGACGUCAAAUCAUCAUGGCCCUUACGUCCAGGGCUAGACACGAGCUACAAUGGCCGGUACAAUGGGCAGCAAACUCGCGAGGGUAAGCUAAUCCCACAAAACCGGUCUCAGUUCAGAUUGAAGUCUGCAACUCGACUUCAUGAAGUUGGAAUCGCUAGUAAUCGCGGAUCAGCAUGCCGCGGUGAAUACGUUCCCGGGCCUUGUACACACCGCCCGUCAAGCCAUGAAAGACGGGAGUACCCGACGUCACCGAUCUAACCCGCAAGGGAUGUAGGUGCCUAAGGUAAGACCGUUGAUUGGG
rnacentral:rRNA from 1 species